GCCGCAGGGCCGGGGGCGGAGGCCGGUGCUGCGCUUUGGCGGGGAGCGCCACCGGCCCGUGGAAAGGGCACAACCCCCACGCCGCGCUUAGGGGCUCCCUCCCGCGAAAGGUCCCAGAGGACAGGACUGCUUGUUCCCCUGGUGGGCUGUGCAGAGCGCGGCGUGAGUCGCUCGUCGGGCCGACCCGGCCGGGCCUUCCCGCGCUUCCCACGCCCCGCCCACCUCCCCUCGCCUUGCCCUGGAUAAGAAUUCCCUGCAGGGAACCGGCCCCACGUAGUGUGGCCCCCGGGAGCACGGCUAAUCCCUCAUCUUCGUCCGCUUUUUAGGGACAAGGAACGCGGAAGUUCUUUCGGUUUAGCGUGUAAGGCAAGAGCGCAGAAUCAACCUCGGGUCCCUCAAUUGACAAUCUGGCAUCCGGCAACUCCCUGUCCCGAACCGCCCUUGCUCCUCGCUUGACCUCACUCUGGUGUCCCCUCCCUCUCACGCCAUUUCCUCUCCCUCCAUUAACUGCUCUACAUUGCAAAGGGAGAGCAAAGGGGCUCUUUGAUUUGACCUUGAAUUUACCUUGCCAGGAUCCUUUUGAGUCCCGCGCGUUUCAGGAGCUUUUCAAACUUUGAAUGAAGACCCACCGUGAGAAAUAGUUUACGACUCCAGAGUUGGAAAUAACAACGGGGCACGUGUGGUCUGGAGAGCGUGAAGUGACGUGUCUGAGACUCGCCCACCUUCUGUGGCAGAACCGGAACUAGAAUUUCCAUCUCCUGACAUCAAGCCCACUGCCCUUUUGUAGCCGUCUGAGGGAAGGGCAGCCAGGAAAAUAAAUAAAAACGAAGAAAGUAGGAUGCUGGUCCACCUCGAGCUCCCCGCGACCCAUUCCAGACCUGAAGGUAAAGCAGUGGGAGAAACACUGGAUUGGACAGCUAAGGAGCUCCUUGGUCUGAUCUUGGCCUUGCCAUUCAACACUUGAUCUUCCUGACCUGGAAUAACUAAUUUUCUCCCCUGGUUUCCUCUUGCUCAUCGGUCAAACAGGGAAAAUGUCAUUGACCUGGAUGGCAUGAUGUGUGAAACCACUCUACAAGCGAAUGAUUUAAGUAGCUUGAGUCAUGUCAAGUUCAUCGUGAUGAUUUCGGGCUGGUAGGGCAAGAAAUCAACGUCAACUCCCAUUUGGAGAGACUCUUGGGGUUUCAAUUAUUCCCCUCUGGUGUUUCCUGUUAAUUUACACAGAAUUUCUUCUACUUGGAAAGCUAGCUCCUUAAUCUCUUCUUGCUAUUCGAACGAUAACUGGGAUAGGGACCGACAUGGACAUGGAAAGGAUAACAUGGAAAGUUACCGAAGGAAAGGAUUACAGUAAAUAGGUGAUGCUGGCCAAUGGACCAUGAAUAUGCUGGAAUGUCUAUUUUUCUAGAACUUGGCGAAACUGUGGUAAGAGAAUCUUUUGACUUGUGUUAGUGACUUUUUCUCCCAAAUAUUAGUUCUUUAUUAACAAAUAAUCCACUUAGCAUACCGGUAGGGGCGCCUGGGUGGCUCAGUCGGUUGAGCAUCCGACUCUUGAUGUUGGCUCCGGUCAUGAUUUCAAACCCCA